GCUUCCAUGGCUCAGUUGGUAGAGCAGCGCAUUCGUAACGCGCAGGUCAUGGGUUCGAGUCCCAUUGGGAGCUCCA
rnacentral:tRNA from 2 species